rnacentral:misc_RNA from 1 species
AAGUCGUAACAAGGUUUCCGUAGGUGAACCUGCGGAAGGAUCAUUAUUGAAUGAACUUGGUAUGAUUGUUGCUGGCCCAUCUGGGCAUGUGCACGUCUGCCAUCUUUAUCUCUCCACCUGUGCACAUAUUGUAGGUCUGGAAUAAAUUUCUGAGGCAACUCAGUAGUGGGGAAUGCUGCUGUGAAGUGGCUUUGCCUGUAAUUUCAGAUCUAUGUUUUCAUAUACACCAUAAAAAUGUAACAGAAUGUAUUAAUGGGUCUUGUACCUAUAAACUAUAUACAACUUUCAGCAACGGAUCUCUUGGCUCUC